UUGCUGCUGCUGCUGCUGCACUGGCUGCCAGUGAGAUACAGGGGCAAAUUCAAGGUGUUAGCGCUAGCAUGAAAAGUCCUAAAUGGCUUGAGACCCAAGCACCGAAAAGUGUGCCGCCCCACCACCCAAAUACCAUCUCAGGUCCUACAUUUGGCUGGGGAGGACAUCCUGAACAAGGAAAUUCAUAGUCAAUCAAGGACUUUACAGGAGGUGAUGCUGAAGACCCGUUUAGACCUCUGCAUCAUCAUCAUCAUCAUCAUCAUUAUUUAAAAAGAUUAAUUACCGCCAUGUACCCUCCUCCCAAGUUAGAUCUGGACUGCAGCACUAAGAGAGGCAAUUAGACCUUUAUUUGUACACCACUGUCCUAGCUGAAACCUCUACAUCCCCCAAGCUGUGAACCUGAAAGAUGCUGCUCUCUUACAGCCUAUUACAUUUUAUUUUAAAUCUACACCUCUGCCUCCUCUCCCGCCUCCUGCCUUUUGCCCUUUAAUUUCAAAUCAGAACUGGGGGAAAAUAAAGAGAAAUAGUUUUCAUCA